rnacentral:rRNA from 1 species
GGAGUGCUCCAAAGAGAUCCGUAACACAGGUGUUGCAUGGCUGUCGUCAGCUCGUCUCCUGAGAUGUUGGGUUAAGUCCCGCAACGAGCGCAACCCUUGUCAUUAGUUGCUACAUUUAGUUGGGCACUCUAAUGAGACUGCCGGUGACAAACCGGAGGAAGGUGGGGAUGACGUCAAGUCCUCAUGGCCCUUAUAGGUGGGGCUACACACGUCAUACAAUGGCCGGUACAAAGGGCUGCCAACCCGCGAGGGGGAGCUAAUCCCAUAAAACCGGUCGUAGUCCGGAUCGCAGUCUGCAACUCGACUGCGUGAAGUCGGAAUCGCUAGUAAUCGUGGAUCAGAAUGUCACGGUGAAUACGUUCCCGGGUCUUGUACACACCGCCCGUCACACCAUGGGAGCGGGUUCUGCCAGAAGUAGUUAGCCUAACCGCAAGGAGGGCGAUUACCACGGCAGGGUUCGUGACUGGGGUGAAGUCGUAACAAGGUAGCCGUAUCGGAAGGUGCGGCUGGAUCACAUCCGUA